ensembl:lncRNA
GAAAGAAAGAAAGAAAGAAAGAAAGAAAGAAAGAAAGAAAGAAAGAAAGAAAGAAAGAAAGAAAGAAAGAAAGAAAGAAAGAAAGAAAGAAAGAAGGAAAGAAAGAAAGAAGUUAGAACACUAACCAGUCAAAGCAGUGUUGGCUUCCUGAAUCAAACAACACCACAGUACCUAUUUCUCCUGGGAGAGGUAGUGUUACAGCUCUUGGAUGUGACAGUGGUAUCUGAUUGUUCCCAGCUGCCGAUCCUUUGUCAGCAGAU